ACUGUAGCAAUACAGUUGAUGGCGACCGGCAAACGGGUGCGGAACACGUACACAACCUUCCUUUAAGUGGGGAAUAGGCCAGGGAAACUUGGGUUAAUACCCCGUAAUAUAUAGAAGUGGCAUCACUUUUAUAUUAUAGCUCCGGCGCUUGAAGAUGGGUGUGCGGCUGAUUAGGUAGUUGGCGGGGUAACGGCCCACCAAGCCGACGAUCAGUAACUGGUGUGAGAGCACGACCAGUCACACGGGCACUGAGACACGGGCCCGACUCCUACGGGAGGCAGCAGUAAGGAAUAUUGGUCAAUGGACGCAAGUCUGAACCAGCCAUGCCGCGUGGAGGAUGAAGGUCCUCUGGAUUGUAAACUUCUUUUAUCUGGGAAGAAACCCAUCUUUUCUUGGAUGGCUGACGGUACCAGAUGAAUAAGCACCGGCUAACUCCGUGCCAGCAGCCGCGGUAAUACGGAGGGUGCAAGCGUUAUCCGGAUUCACUGGGUUUAAAGGGUGCGUAGGUGGGCAGGUAAGUCAGUGGUGAAAUCUCCGGGCUUAACCCGGAAACUGCCAUUGAUACUAUUUGUCUUGAAUACUGUGGAGGUCAGCGGAAUAUGUCAUGUAGCGGUGAAAUGCUUAGAUAUGACAUAGAACACCAAUUGCGAAGGCAGCUGGCUACACAAAUAUUGACACUGAGGCACGAAAGCGUGGGGAUCAAACAGGAUUAGAUACCCUGGUAGUCCACGCCCUAAACUAUGGAUACCCGACAUUUGCGAUAAACUGCAAGUGUCUGAGCGAAAGCAUUAAGUAU
rnacentral:rRNA from 1 species